CCUACGGGGGGCAGCAGUGAGGAAUAUUGGUCAAUGGGCGCGAGCCUGAACCAGCUAAGUAGCGUGAAGGAUGACUGCCCUACGGGUUGUAAACUUCUUUUAUAAAGGAAUAAAGUGAGGCACGUGUGCCUUUUUGUAUGUACUUUAUGCUUAAGAUUCGGCUAACUCCGUGCCAGCAGACGCGGUAAUACGGAGGAUCCGAGCGUUAUCCGGAUUUAUUGGGUUUAAAGGGAGCGUAGAUGGGUUGUUAAGUCAGUUGUGAAAGUUUGCGGCUCAACCGUAAAAUUGCAAUUGAUACUGGCAGGCUUGAGUACAGUUGAGGUAGGUGGAAUUCGUGGUGUAGCAGUGAAAUGCGUAGAUAUGACGAAGAACUCCGAUUGCGAAGGCAGCUUACUAAACUGCCACUGACAUUGAUGCUCGAAAGUGUGGGUAUCAAACAGGAUUAGAUACCCUGGUAGUC
rnacentral:rRNA from 1 species